GCAGCCGCCGCGGGAAUACGAAGGGGGCUAGCGUUGUUCGGAUUUACUGGGCGUAAAGCGCACGUAGGCGGAUCCUUAAGUCAGAGGUGAAAUCCCAAGGCUCAACCUUGGAACUGCCUUUGAUACUGGGGAUCUCGAGUUCGGGAGAGGUGAGUGGAACUGCGAGUGUAGAGGUGAAAUUCGUAGAUAUUCGCAAGAACACCAGUGGCGAAGGCGGCUCACUGGCCCGAUACUGACGCUGAGGUGCGAAAGCGUGGGGAGCAAACAGGAUUAGAUACCCGCGUAGUCCCUGUCUCUUAUAC
rnacentral:rRNA from 1 species